rnacentral:rRNA from 1 species
CAGCACCUCAAGUGGUCAGGAUGAUUAUUGGGCCUAAAGCAUCCGUAGCCGGCGCUGUAAGUUUUCGGUUAAAUCUGUACGCUCAACGUACAGGCUGCCGGGAAUACUGCAGCGCUAGGGAGUGGGAGAGGUAGACGGUAUUCGGUAGGAAGGGGUAAAAUCCUUUGAUCUAUUGAUGACCACCUGUGGCGAAGGCGGUCUACCAGAACACGUCCGACGGUGAGGGAUGAAAGCUGGGGGAGCAAACCGGAUUAGAUACCCGCGUAGUCC